rnacentral:rRNA from 1 species
UACGGAGGGUGCAAACGUUGCUCGGAAUCAUUGGGCGUAAAGCGCACGUAGGCGGCCUGUUAUGUCGGGUGUGAAAUCCCUCGGCUUAACCGAGGAAGUGCAUUCGAAACUGGCAGGCUUGAAUACUCAAGAGGGUCUCGGAAUUCCCGGUGUAGAGGUGAAAUUCGUAGAUAUCGGGAGGAACACCAGUGGCGAAGGCGGAGACCUGGGGAGAUAUUGACGCUGAGGUGCGAAAGCGUGGGGAGCAAACAGG